rnacentral:lncRNA from 1 species
UUUUUUUUUUUGCACAUGGAUGCCCAUUUGUCCCAGCGUAAAAGUCAUGAUUUAAGGUUGAUAAAGCCUCCAGACAGAAAAAAAAAAAAAGUAUCUCCUUUUCCUCCAUCAUUCCCAGAAGAUAUUCCCUUCAACCAGUGAGAAGCAGCUGUUGAGCAGCUCUCUGCUGGUCUCAGCAAGGCCUUGGUUCAGAGACAAGGAAACCAAGAUGGAAGCCUCAGCCAGUAGAGAUUCAGCAUCUGCCCGCCCGUUCAUCCCUGGGCCCUGGCAAAGUUCCCGGGGAGCCCAGCAUAGGCACGCUCAGUUCAGAGUCAUAGCCCCCGGUAGGACUUUCCAGGGCUUUCUUCUCUUAGGUACCUCCACUGUGUUCCAGGAGGGCUGGGCGUGACUGGUGUUCCUUGAAAGGCUAACCCAUUCCAGGAGCUUGGGACCAGUGAAAGGCAUGGGUCCUCUGAUUGUGUCUUCAGUCUGCCACUUAGGCUGGGCAAGCAGGAGGUCUUAGCCUAGUUCAGGGUUCUUUAAAUUGCCAUCAGAAUGAAUGUGGGAGGAACAGCGAUGUUUACAUUGUUUGGGCAUCUUCUGUAAUUAAGGGCUUAUUAUAAGAGUAACAGUGUAACAACAGCUGACACGUAUUGACAACUCACACUAAGUGCUGGUUGUCACGUAAUCCUCACAACAGGCCUGAGGUAGGUCCUGGUACCAUUCUCAUUUAAUGGGUGAGAAAACUGGGUCUCCGAACAGUUAGGUGACUUGCCCAAGAUCACAGAUGGUUCCUGAGACUCCCAAGUCUAACUCCUUUACGACUUCUCUUGUCUUAAUCUUACUCACUUCUUCACCUCGGGACUCAGGAUAGUAACUGGGAAACAGUGGGUGCUUCAUUAAAGAACAACACAAGAGGUAAGAACUGGGACUCCAGCCUCGCUGCCUGGAUUCUGAUCCUCUUGAAACCCGAUGAUGCCCCAGUUUCGCCAUCCAUAAACUAGAGGUAGUGCUUGUCUCCCAUUCAAGAGGUUGUGAAACUUAAAUGAAGAUUUCUUGACACAUAGCGGUUGCUCAGUAGAUUUUAGCUAUUUUAUUAAUGAGCCUUAAAUAUAGUCAAGAGCUUGAACCUGUGCUCCCAAUCCUCACUAGUCAUAUGACCUUCGAUAAGUUAUUUUAACUUCCCUGUGCUUCUGUUUCCUGAUCUGUGAAAUAGGACUAAUAUUAGAACCCACCUUAUGGGGCUACAGUGAGAAUUAAAUAAUGUUUUUAUAGCCCUUAGAAGAAGUGUCUGCCACUUAGUUACACCACCUGAGUUGGCUAAGAUUACGUAGGCCGUUCAUGCAAAGGAUGCUACAUGUAAACCCUUGAGUGAAGGCUGGUCCUCCUCUCUUUGGAAAGUGAUCCUGGAGUGGUCAGAAAGGAAGGGGUCAGUGGCCCAGGCACCCAGAGUAAUCCAGUCCACCCAGGGGACAUGUGGCAUUAGAGAUGACAUAAGCAGAUCACGGGCAUGCCCAAAAUAGCCAGUGCACAACAAACCGUCUAACCAGGUAUGAUCAGAAGACCCUCCAAAGGGUAAAGAACAAGAUAGUCGAGUUACAUGGUCUUAAUUCAAAUAGAAACCGUCUUCUGGGGUUGAUGUGCUCACAGAGGAUCCUACUAUCAAGGGCGUGGGCAACACCAGGCAGAGGGAACAGUCAACGGGCAGGGAUUGUCAUCAGUGCUCUGCACUACUGCCCCAUCUAAAAUAGCGCUGUUAGUUUCCUAGGGCAGCUGUAACAAAUUACCAUGAGCUUGGAGGCAUAAAGCAACAGAGAUUUAUUCUUAAGCUCUGAAGGUCAGAAGUCUAAAAUGAGUCUUACGGGAAUAAAAUCAAGGUGUCAGAAGGGGAGCUUCCCUCUGGAGCCUCCAGGCAAGAGUCCGUUUCCUUGCCUUUUCCAGCUCCCUUAUUCCUCAGCUGGUGGUCCCACCUCACCUCACCAUGUUCUCCCUGCUUUCAUUAUCACAUCACUUUCCCCUCCUAUAGUCAAAUCUCCCCCGCCUCCCUCCUAGAAGGACACUUAGGGUUACAUUUAGGGCCCACUGGAUAAUCCAGGGUAAUUUCUCUAUCUUAAAAUCCUUAACUUUGUGACAUCUAUGAAGGCCCUUCUGCCGUAUAGGUGACAUCACAGGUUCCAGGGCUUAGCACCUGGAUAUCUUUGGGGAUCGUUACUAAGACUAGCUCAAAGCACCUAGCUCUCAGUGCACUCGAUAAAUAUCUUUUGAGUGAAAGUGUGAAUGUUAGCCAUUUCGUAUUGUCAUUGGCAUCAUCUUGGCUUCAAGAUUCGUGGUCAAGACGUGUGUGUGGUCUCUUUGAUUUCAAGUCUUGUUCAAAUGUCACCUUCAGUGCCAAUUUUCUGAUCUGAGUUUAAUAGAGCAACUUGCUUCCUCUGUCACACACACGCUCUAUCCUGCUCAACUUUUUUUCCCCAUAGCACUGUUGCCUUCUAGCAUACUACACGUUCAUUUAUUUCUCCAUUUACUGGUAUUUGCCCAUCUCCCUACUAGAAUGUUAGCUCAAAGAUGACAUUCAGAGCAAGGAUUUUUCUGUCUUAGUCUCCGAUGUAUCUGAGGGGCCUAGGAUAGUGCCUGGCACACAGCGGGUGCUCGGUACGUGACGGUUGAAUGAACAUGCAAACUGAAUGGCCUCACCAUGUUUUCUUCAGCUGCCAGUCUGGUUCUUUAUCUUUUGUGGCUGAUCUGGGCUUUCAUGACAACAAAGGCAUUGCCUUUGGUGAAGGCAGUCAAUUCUAGGUAACCUGUGUAUUGUAUUACCCUAUUUAUGGGUCUCCACCCUGUCCUAUUAACUAACACACUGGCAAUUUUGAUUUCCAAAACACAGAUAACCUCAAUUCUCAUCUCCACCAAGACUUAUGAAACUCUGAGAGGGAAACGGAUGGUUUGACUUUGGAUGUAUUUUGAGGGAUAAAACUUGUUCGAAUGUGGAUGCUUGCAGGGUUGGGAGGGUAGGCUGUCACUGGUUGGAGUGGCUGGGGUUUGUUGGGUUGGGUUAUACUGUUUCCACUGGUCUGCUGGAGGUGAUGGGUUUGUGGUUUCUGCAGUUGGUCAGGCUCAGGGUGGUCGCUGUAGAGGGAACCUGAGCGCCUGAGGGGGCAUGGUGGGGGGGGCUUCCUGAAGCCAAAGUUGUGUGUGUCUAUACAUUUGAAGGAGAGUAGAGCUCAUCUUUUGUAUCAGCUUCUCAACAAGUAAAGGGAAGGACUUGUGUGUUGCCCCAGAAACGAGGACUCUGGGACUUAAGACAUACAGGUUAAAUUAACAGGCUGUACACAGCUCAGAAAGGCAGCAGUUUGAAAGGUAUGCCUUCUUCUUCCCACCAACAAGUCCCCAAGCUCUGGGUUAGAGAUGCUGAACCAGGUGCUGGUUCAAAUCUCAAGAUGACCAAUCUCACUUUUUCUAUGACUCUGGGCAUUUCUUGAAGUCCAAUUUUUUUGUUUUGUUUUGUUUUUUUCUCAAAGGUAGACUUGGGAUGGCUCUACUGUCUUUGAUUUCAGUGUGAAUAUGAAAGUGCUUCAAGGGUGCUAUAGAAUGGCACAUUACUAGUGUCAAAGGGAAUACGUGCCUUUUUUGAUGUGACAAGACUGCCUUGUUCCUUAUUCCAUCCAUCCAUCCAUCCUCCCUCCAUCCAUCCUCCAUCCAUCCUCCAUCCAUCCAUCCUCCAUCCAUCCUCCAUCCAUCCAUCCUCCAUCUUCAAUCCAUCCUCCAUCCAUCCAUCCUCCAUCCAUCCUCCAUCCAUCCUCCAUCCAUCCAUCCUCCAUCCAUCCUCCAUCCAUCCAUCCAUCCUCCAUCCAUCCUCCAUCCAUCCUCCAUCCAUCCUCCAUCCAUCCAUCCUCCAUCCAUCCUCCAUCCAUCCUCCAUCCAUCCAUCCUCCAUCCAUCCUCCAUCCAUCCAUCCUCCAUCCAUCCAUCCUCCAUCUUCAAUCCAUCCUCCAUCCAUCCAUCCUCCAUCCAUCCUCCAUCCAUCCAUCCUCCAUCCAUCCUCCAUCCAUCCUCCAUCCAUCCAUCCUCCAUCCAUCCUCCAUCCAUCCUCCAUCCAUCCUCCACCCAUCAUCCACCCAUCCUCCUUCUAGCCAUCCCUCCCACAAACGUGUUUCUUCAAAACAUGCAUAAAAGCUACCAUGUAUGUGACAAAAGCUUUUUAUAAAACAUUGAUCCUCAAAAAAACACUGAGGUCCAAGGAGCUCAGACCAUUUGCUCAAAAAUCACACAGCUAGAAAAUGAUGGAGCAGAGCCCGAAUGAAAACCUAAUUCUGUGUGAUGCCAGUGGCAGUGUUUAACAUCAUGCGCACUGAAACAUUCCUAAAGGCAGAGAAGAGAGGAGCGCCCCAGCCUAAAGAAAGGGAGGGGGAUAGGUCUCCCUGAUACAGCACCUUGUAUUUUACCGUAAAAUGCAUGCACCUGUUAGAGUGUAUUCCACAUUAUGCCCAUGCUUGUUUUCAUCAUAAAGAAUUUCCCAGCAAUCUCUAAGUACAAGUGAAGUUUUGGGGGGUGGGUACCCCAGUGUAGCUCUCUGCUGUUAUCCCCUCACAAACACCAUUUUCCGUAUCAGAUGCUUGUUGCUUAUGUUUGAGCCUUAUCUUCUGGGCUGGACUAGAAGCUCCUGGAGGGUAAGAUCUGAAUCUGAUUCCUCCUUUCUCCUUCCCAAGGCUUAGAUCAGGACCCAGCAUAAAACAAGCAUGCAGAUAAUGGAUUUGGCAAAACGUAUUGAAUUCCUGGGAGAUACAGAUGGUAUGAUGCAGUUCUUGUUCUCAAGAUAUUUACAACUCAGCUAGAGAGGCCAAGCUUCCAGAAGCUUCCUGAAAAGGAUCUCCCCAAGACUCUUGGCAUAGCAUUUUAAAAGCGUGGGGAGUUCCUGUUGUGGCUCAACAGUAAGGAACCCGACUAGUAUCCAUAAGGACGUGGGUUCACUCCCUCGUUCAGUGGGUUAAGGAUCUGACAUUGCCAUGAGCUGCAGUGUAUGUUGUAGAUGCAGCUUGGAUCCCGAGUUGCUGUGACUAUGGCAUAGGCCAGCAGCUGCAGCUCUGACUCAGCCCCUAGUCUGGGAACUUACAUAUGCUGCAGGUGUGGCCCUAAAAAGACAAAAACAAACAAACAAACAAAAGUUUGGGACUGUAAUGCAGCAACAGAUGAGGUGGUAGCUAAUUAAGAGCAAACAAAAAGUUUCAUUAAAUAGGACACAUUUUGGAGUUUCUGUUGUGGCACAGCAAAAAUGAAUCCAACUAGGAACCAUCAGGUGGUGGGUUUGAUCCCUGGCUUCGCUCAGUGGGUUAGGGAUCCCGCAUUGCUGUGAGCUGUGAUGUAGGUCGCAGACACAGCUAGGAUCUUGCGUUGCUGUGGCUGUGACGUAGGCUGGCAGCUGUAGCUCUGAUUGGACCCCUAUUCUGGGAACCUCCAUAUGCCACAGGUGCAGCCCUAAAAAGACAAAAACAAGGGAACAAAACAAAACAAAAAAUAGGACAAAUUUUGUGAAAAGUGACAGCCUGCUCCUCUGGAAAGGCAGCAUUUUAUUAAUUCAAGAGCACACCUUCAAGUGACAAAUUACUGAUGUUGAAAGUGCUGUUUCCCAAGAAGGGAAAGUUGAAAACAGUCACCUGCUCUAGCUGCUGUCUGUUUUGGGAGAAGAGUCUCAGUCUCUCAUUGCUUGGCCUUUGAGGAUCAUGUUCAAACUCUAGCAGCAGCAUGGAUAAACCCACAUUCAUUUCGGGCAAACUUGGGUAGGUUGGGGUUUAUUAGAUUCAAUUCAGAUAUUUACCAAGCUCACCGUGUAGGUGCUGAGAUGGGGCAUGCACCCAGAGGCAGGGAUGCAUAAUGAGUGUCUCACAAACUCUGCAGGGGAUCAGGGAGUCAAAAUCCUGGCUCCUCCAUGAAGCAGCUGAGGGACAUGGGCCAGGGCCUGAGUUUCAUAAACCAUGGCAUGGAGAUCCCAGAUCUUGGAGGCGCUUGCACAGACCUGUUGGGGUGAUGGACAUAAAUCUCCCUGUGCAGGGAACUGCAUGAAGAGCUCCACAAAGGGGCACUAGGAGAGGUGGCCAUUAUAGAAAAAAUAAUAAUAAGACAAUGACCUGAUUUCAAGAAACUCCCAAUCUAGUGAAAAGACCAUGUUCACAGAUAAACAUCAUUAGCAUGAUGGCUAUGACUAUUUUUUGACUUUUUUUUUUUUUUAACACAGAGCACUUACCCUGUGCCAGACACCGUGUUAAAACGGUUGUACCUGGAUAAUCUCAUUUAUUUGCACAAAACCGUAUAUAGCAGGAACCACAAUUUUUCUUACUGAGGAGUCUGAGGUGUAAGCAGUUUAAGUAUCACGCUCAGGGUCACAGAGCCGGAGAGUGACAGAAGGUGGCUUUGAACCCAGCAGUCUGGCUCAGAGGCAGAGUCAAGGCACAAAAAGACAGAAAGAAGCUGGGAGAGGCUUCUCAGAGCAGGUACUGGAGUGGCGAGCAGUUUGUCAUGGGAGGGAAGAGCUGGCAGGAGAACCGCUCGCUCUGUUUGGGAAUUCGGCUGGGUCAGGAAUUUAGAGGGUUUGGGAUGGCAGAUGGGGGUGGGUGCCUGGAAGAUGAGGGCACAGAGGAAGAGAGGGAAGAGUGGGCCAGAUGCUGAGACACCUGGUGAGCCAGGCACAGGGACUUGGGGAACCAAAGCAGAGUGAGAAAGAGAGGGUCAUGGCAUGGAGUUGACAUUUAUGCCUAUGUUCAAAGAGGAACUUACUCUGGGCGGCAUGACUGAAUAAUUAGGCCACAGCAGAGUUUCCAACUAAAUAACUACUUUCUAAAUAUUGUUUAUGUGCAAGUCUUGUCCUUUCUCCUAAUAGCCUGUAAGCUCCUGAAAUGUUGACUCUAAUUGCUUUUGUUCUCGCACAAGUACCUGACCUAUGGUAGGUGCUUAAAAAUUCCGUUAAAUGAGUGAAUGAUUAAAAUUAUGAAUGAAUGAGUCUCUGAAGAACUGAAUUUGGAGCUGGAUUUAAGAAAAAUGCAUGUGCAUCACAGAUCUAAAUGUGAAAGAGAAACAAAAGAGCUUCUAUAAGAAAGCAUAGGAGGGUAUCACCUUGAUUGUAAAGAUUUUAGAACACAAAAAGCGGCACUAGCCAUUAAGGAGAAGAUUGGUAAAUUUCAUUAAAAAUUAAGACUAUCUAAAAAGGAAUAUCUGCAUCUGAAGCUAACACAACUUUGUAAGUCAACUAUACUCCAAUAAAAUUUAUAUUUAAAAAAAUCCUCCUAUGUAGCACUGGGAACUAUAUCUAGUCACUUAUGAUGGAGCAUGAUAAUAUGAGAAAAAAGAAUGUAUACAUGUAUGUGUAACUGGGUCACCCUGCUGUACAGUAGAAAAUUGACAGAACACUGUAAACCAGCUGUAAUGAAAAAAUAAAAAUCAUU